GACGAACGCUGGCGGCGUGCUUAACACAUGCAAGUCGAACGGAAAGGCCCUGCUUGCAGGGUACUCGAGUGGCGAACGGGUGAGUAACACGUGGGUGAUCUGCCCUGCACUUCGGGAUAAGCCUGGGAAACUGGGUCUAAUACCGGAUAGGAGCCAUUUUUAGUGUGAUGGUUGGAAAGUUUUUUCGGUGUAGGAUGAGCUCGCGGCCUAUCAGCUUGUUGGUGGGGUAAUGGCCUACCAAGGCGGCGACGGGUAGCCGGCCUGAGAGGGUGGACGGCCACAUUGGGACUGAGAUACGGCCCAGACUCCUACGGGAGGCAGCAGUGGGGAAUAUUGCACAAUGGGCGCAAGCCUGAUGCAGCUACGCCGCGUGGGGGAUGACGGCCUUCGGGUUGUAAACUCCUUUCGCUAGGGACGAAGCUUUUUGUGACGGUACCUAGAUAAGAAGCACCGGCUAACUACGUG
rnacentral:rRNA from 1 species